GCUCCUGUAGCUCAACUGGAAGAGUUCGACGCUUCGAACGUCGCGGUUGCAGGUUCGAGUCCUGUCAGGAGUUCCA
rnacentral:tRNA from 1 species